UACAGAGGUCUCAAGCGUUGUUCGGAUUCAUUGGGCGUAAAGGGUGUGUAGGCGGUCUAGUUAGUCUUCUGUCAAAUUCUUCGGCUUAACCGGGGGUCCGCAGGGGAAACGGCUAGACUCGAGGAUGCGAGAGGUGAAUGGAACUCAUAGUGUAGGGGUGAAAUCCGUUGAUAUUAUGGGGAACACCAAAAGCGAAGGCAAUUCACUGGCGCACUCCUGACGCUGAAACACGAAAGCGUGGGUAGCGAAUGGG
rnacentral:rRNA from 1 species